UUUCCAUAACAGCCAUGGCAGAAGUGCUCUUAUUGCAGCCCUGUCAGAUUCUAAUGAAUCUGUGAAUGCUGCU
rnacentral:ribozyme from 1 species